AUGUGAGAGCACAAAAUCAUAGUAAUCAAGGGGAUAAAGGAAUCAACCAGGAGGUAAAUUUCAGAUAAAAUGCCAAUUCCACUCUAAAAACUUCUGCAUGAUAGAUGUCUUGAUCAUCAUAGAGGAUGAACAGUUAUUUAUUCACUGGAGCACAAGUCUGGAACCAGCCUGCCCAUACAGCAACUGAUCUAAAUGAAGAGGAAAGGGAUCAGCUCUGCUCCCUGCCAGCAAGGUCAUCUGGGACCUGCUCCCAUGUGUCACCCAGAGAAGACAUUUAGCUGCAUUGCCACCAGGUUGACCCUGAGCCCAAACAGCCCACUUUCUGGCAGAUUUGGAUACCGUGGCUCAUCAUAAACAGGACAGUGAAAAACUAUGCUGCAUUGAGUGAACUUUUUGUAGAACAUAAUCUUAAAUAUGAGUGCUUUGGAUCUAACUCAGACAUGGUCUGCUUCUGACACAUAGCAAGUCUAAUUCAUGCCUGCUGCAAAUGGCUUGUGGUACUCAAUCCUGCACCUAGUGUUAAGAUGUUAGAUGACUGCUCUGGAAUACAGGCAAGAAUGAAUUAAGAAUUGCUGACAAGAACAUACUGCUACACUCAACAGUUCUUAGUCAAGUCUAUGGCAAAAUUCCUUUUGGCUUUUAUAUAAAUGGAAUGAAAUCAGUAUUUCUUGUUUUCUGUUGGUGUGUUUUUUGUGGUUUUCUUAAUAGAUUUUAUUUCCUUCACUGACCUUGAGUGACAGCUCUUCCAGUAUUUCCUCAUCUGACCCAGCUUUCAGAGUCCUAAAUUUUCUGCCCAGCACAACAGAAUCUCUUUCAGGAAUCUGAAGGACAAGUGUAAUAUUUCAUGUGUACCUUGUGGAGGAAUGGGGCAGGUGGGAGUAAUUCAUUUGAGAUGAAGAUCAGAAGAAAUGGUAGUAGAUAAAUACCUAAUACAUUUGUCUGGUAGAUUGCUGGU